GUUUUGUCUGAAAGCAGAGGAGGUGAGGGCUCCCCUAGACAAGGAUGCAAGAGCCCAAGGCGUGGCCUGCAACAUGCUUGCGGCUGAGGCCUGGCCACCUGCUUCGUGGUAUCACACCACUGCUUUUU